CCUGUUCCCAUGCCGAACACAGCCGUUAAGCUCUCUAGCGCCGAUGGUAGUUGGGGUUCUUCCCCUGUGAGAGUAGGACGCUGCCGGGC
rnacentral:rRNA from 1 species